UACGAAGGGUGCAAGCGUUACUCGGAAUUACUGGGCGUAAAGGGUGCGUAGGCGGCUUUUUAAGUUUGGUGUGAAAUCUCCCGGCUUAACUGGGAGGGUGCGCCGAAGACUGCGAUGCUGGAGUAUGGGAGAGGAAAGCGGAAUUCCUGGUGUAGCGGUGAAAUGCGUAGAUAUCAGGAGGAACACCUGCGGUGUAGACGGCUUUCUGGACCAUUACUGACACUGAGACACGAAAGCGUGGGUAGCAAACAGG
rnacentral:rRNA from 1 species